CAGGCAAAAUGUCAGGAGAAAAUGCUUCUAGCACAUGGCCAUACAACCCGAAAAACCUACAACAACCCAGUGACUCCGGCCAUAAAGCCUUCGACAACUUCAACUCCCUUUAUUUUAUUUUAUUUUCGUAUCUCUGGGGCCUAAAAUGGCCCAGCAAGAUAAAAAAAAGUUGAAAAAGUUUCCCACAGGGUAAACAAUUUUUUUGGGAUCCAAGUUUUCCCGAGGAGCUAAUAUGUUCCUUUACCUUCCAUAGCUGGCGACUCCUGCCUUAAGAGAAUAAGAGUUCUGCAGCUCACAUUUUCGUAUUUUAUUUAGGAAGGUGUAAUGUAAUCAAAAUACUUAAAGCAGUAGGGAAGCUUUGUUAUAUGCUUUCUUUGUUGUUAUGUAGGCCUUCUGGGAAAAGCAGAAUAUAGUGAUAUUUUUGUGUUGCUUUUGCAUAAUUAACUGUUACUUUAGAAAGAGGAGGUUACUACUGAAAAUUACUGCGGUAGUAAUUUGAACAGUCAUUUAAGAUGAAUGAAUAAAUCAACCAAGCAAAUUGGCUUAUCUGAUACUUUCUUCUGAAGUGUAAGAAAUAUAUUAGAACUAUCAUAGGGAAGCCAAUAAUACAUUUAUUCUUACCUAGCAAGCAUGAAAAGCACAAUCCAUAAUUGAAAACGAGUGUUUUCAGAUUGAGGAUUUGCAGCAGAACUGCAAGUCAAUUGUAAGAGCAUCACAUGUUAGGAUAAAUAGGACUAGAAAAAUGAAAUUCUUACAUGGCUUUUCAUGUCCCUUCAGAUGAGCAGCAUUUCUCCACUGCCUUAUGUACAUAUCAUAGUUUGUUCUCUAUGUUCUGUUUCUUCUCUGUUAAUAAGAUCAGAUGAAAGGUAGUAUUUAUUCUCUCAUUUGGGGAAUGACAUUGGUUUCCCAUUGAAAUGUGAGUCCCAAGUUUGGGCUUCAAGUUAACAUAACUGGAACUAUUGGGUGCGGUUCCUAUCUUUGUGACAAUUGUUGCUGAUGUCAACAUUCUCCUUUACUGCCAGUUUUAUAGGGCUGUACAAUUCCAUUUUGUGAAUGGGAUUGUACAGCCUGCUCUGCAGUUCGUCAUCAGGUUGAGAACCGCAAAGGUAGAAGAUCUAUUUAAGAUUUUAAUUAAGCAAGAUAGAUUUAGCCCUUUAGGACCCCAAAGUCCUGUUACGACCUUUUGUCAAUUGGGAUGAGAGCAGUUCUACAUUUUUGGAACCCUUCUGUAUUUUAACAGCAAAGCAUUAUGAAAAUUAAUCUCCACAGGGUUUCAAUUAUAAACUUAAUGUGCAUCUUAAUUUGUCUUUUUAAACAACAUGUGCAAUUUUCAUAAGUUACCCAGUGUUCAUUUUAUCUGAAAUGUACAAGACUAAAUCGUAAAAAUUAGCCCUGACGUGCUUGUGUCUGUUACUUGUUGGAACAUUUUCAGCCUUCAAUCUCACUGUUUUCAUUACAAGAUGUGCCUUAAGCCAGUAUAGCGUUUGCUUUUUGACAAAAAUGCCAAACAAUAUCAUAAAAUUCAAAAAGGCACAGCAUAUCGUUUACAGUAAAUUGAACCAAUAUUUCUGUCUCGGUUUCUGAUCUAUUUUUGGUGUGCCUUUUGAUUGUGGAAUAAUUCAAAGCACUUUUAAAAGACACCCUCCCCAACUCUCUGUUUGUCCUUCAAAUCACCUGCAGACUAAAAGCGACUCCAUGAAUUUUUCAUUGGGGUUUCUUGCAUGAGGAGUAUUCAGAGGUAGUCUUGCCACUUUUCCUCUGAAAUACAGUCUUAUAACAUCUGGGAUUUGCUGCUGGUCUCCCAUCCAAGUAUUUACCAGGGCUCAACAUAUUUAAGCUUCCAAGAUCAAAUGGUGCCUUUAGGAUGUUUAGGACAGACAUACAAGAUGUAAGUAGUGAAUGCAGUCUGCAUGUUAGGACAGUUCUGUUUUGAAUAAGGAAUUAAAGACUUUUGCUGAUCUAUUCUUAAUGAAGCAAGCAAUCAGUUUUUUUAAAGUCUCUUCUGACUUUCUCUUUGUAUGUCAGUAUCUCCUCAGGCAAGUCUGUUCCAUAUCUUCAUGAUCUUGUAUAGAGGAUGCCUUCUUUGAUCCUUCUGCUCUAACAUGCUCCAGUGAAAAACAAAAGUAUGAACAAUAUAUUUAAUUGAAAGGUUUUUUGUGUCAGGAGAGACUUGAGAAACUGCAUGUCGCUACUGGUGUGAGAGAAUUGGUCGUCUGCAAGGACAUUGCUCAGGGCACACUCAGAUGUUUGAUGUUUUGCCAUACUUUGGGAGGCUUCCCUCAUGUCUCCACAUGGGAAACUAGAUCUGAGAUGGGAGCUCACUCUGCUCCCGAUUCAAACUGUCAACCUGUCGGUCAGCAGUCCUGCCGGCACAAGGGUUUAACCCAUUGUGCCACUGGGGGCUCUGGCAGCAACAAAAAGCAAUGAAAAGAUAAUAAAUGAAGCAGUUGAAUUGAGACUAUCAAAAAAGCACUGCAUAAAUAAAAAGCAUAACAUUUUAAUUUUUUGACACAAAAUUAAAAUAUUAAGCAAUUAAAAUGGGAGGGGCUAUAGGUUGCAUGUAGAGGUAAGUUUGCAAGAGGAGGAGGAUAAUUUGUAUAAUUCUAUGAAGGAAAGUGUGGGUAGCCAAGUAACUCCAUAAGAACUUGGCAAAUAGAUUCACUUUUAGGCUGCUUGUUGUUUCUUUGUGGGAGUUGUGAAGUGCCCAAAGAAAUAGAUGGGAAGUUACUACAAAAUUGUAUGAACAGAAGAAAUGACACCAGUGUGAUUUUGGCUUUUCAAGAAGUAUACGGAAUGUAAUCUAUUAUGAACCACAUGGUUUAGUUAUUUUAUUUCUUGUAUAUUUGUACAGAGACAGUCUGCUACUUAUCCAUUCUAACAAGCACUUGUAUUAACUACACCAUAAUGUAGAUGAAUUCAGAUAGAUAUGGAAAAUAGAUGCCUGCUGGGUAAAAUUCAUUUCCCUUUGAGUUUGUAUAAAGUCUGUUUUCCUUGAAUGCUAGUAGAGUGAUCUCUUCCAUGUUGGGGAGCCUUAAUACAACAGUCCCGACGUGAAUGUAAAUUACGCCUUUUCUUUUGAUCUGCCUUCUCUCUAUCAAUGCAAACUUUAUCUCUCCCCUUUUUUGUGAAAGAGUUACAAACUUGGUAGAUGAAGAGAAUGCUGUGGAUGUAGCAUAUCUCCAUUUCAGUAAGGCCUUUGACAUGCUUACAAAGAAGCUAGUAAACGUGUGUGUAUUUGUCUCUUUCUUCACUUGCCUUAUUUUUCUCAUGUACUGUUGCAGCUUGGCAAAAUGGCUGCCACAGGAGUCCAUGAGUUAUGGAGAUGACCCCUCUCUCCCCAGCUAAUUGUAUGUGUUCUAUUUAAACAGUUUUGGACUAAAGUAGCUGAAGAAUAUCACAUUGGAACAACUUGUGGAAUGCUAGGAAACAAAGUGCUGUUAACAGCUGACCAAAUAUAGUUUUGUGAAAUAGCUUUACUUUUUAAAUACUUCCUCUGGGUUUUUUUUUUCAUACUUUACAGAUAGAUUGAAGUUCCAAAACUGAGUUUUGUGAAUAAAUGUCAUGUCUCCUCCUGUACAGUUAGCUUUGGUUAAUAAAAAGCACCUCUCAAAUGGCUCAAAUAGAACUUUUUAUGAAAUUUCGUAAGACUAUUUGUAAAUGUAUUUCCUAUUAAAAUAUUUUGAAACAUG